UUUUUUUCAAAAAUGCAACUGUGUAUCCGCACGUCAGGCGCUUGUCACCGCAAGUCACGCCCCCCGCCGGCAGCCUCAGCCAAUGAGGAGCGGCUGGGCAAGAGGGCUCGCCGUUGCUAGGAGUUCCCGUUAAUCCUCCUGCAUUGAAAAGAGAGGGUGUGGAGUUUGAUCACUGCACCUGGCCAUCCAAUCACACUGCUGGUGCUAGAGGUCACCCAACUGUUCUUCAGUCUCAACGCUGGGAAGCCCAAAGUGCGCCCUCAUCAGAUACUCCUUCCCACCCUGCAAAAUGAUGACCAGAUGUUAGAAGACUUGAAUUCAUUGUGGUGGAACGAUAUACAAAAAAGACCACUUGUCUAGUUAUCAGUGGGCUUCAGGGAUACCCUUGGUGGCCCCAUUGGCUUCAACACAUAAAGUAGAUGGUACGGUAAAUGAACCAACUCGCUAACUCAACACAUUUCUAGCUCAU